AUUGAACGCUGGCGGCAGGGCUAACACAUGCAAGUCGAACGAGUGGCGGACGGGUGAGUAAUGUCUGGGAAAUCGCAUGAUGGAGGGGGAUAAAUACUGGAAACGGAAGCUAAUACAGCAUAACCACGGAUGAGCCAAGAUGGGAUUAGCUAGUAGGUGGGGUAAAGGCUAACCUAGGCGUCGAUCCCUAGCUGUUCUGGGAGGUAGACCAGCCACACUGGAACUGAGCUACUGUCCAGACUCCUACGGGAGGCACCAGUGGAGAAUAGUGCACAAUUGGCACGAUCCUGAUUAAUCCAUGCCUCGUGUAUGAAGAAAGCCUUCGGGUUUGAAAGUACUUUCAUCGGGAAGUCGUUACCCGCAGAAGAAUCACCGGCUAACUCCGUGCCAGCAGCCGCGGUAAUUC
rnacentral:rRNA from 1 species